rnacentral:lncRNA from 7 species
AUCUCUUUAGGCGUUCUCAACUUGACUAUCUCCUAAUUUCCCCUCUAGCACUUAGUUUUUUGUAGUAGUGCUCUAGUUUCUCUGUAGGUUACUUUGAACCAUGGUGUCUAUGUGUUCGAGUUUUUGAGAAAGUGUGGCCAAAACUACACGCAAGUUCUCAUGUUUUUUCCUCCGUCUCAGAUUUGAUUGGUGUUUGUGUUUGAAUUUUUUUCUUCUUAACCCCUCUACUUGCGUUUCAAGUUGAUUCUUACCUUCACUCGUUUAGUAGAGAUUUUUGGGGAUAAUCUAUGGACUAGAAACAAUCCUGACAUCAUUCCAAAAUUCUUGUAUGAUUUUAUUCAUCUUACAGACAUGUUUUUAUUAGAUUGAUCAUUGGAUAAAACCCCCAACUAAACCCAAGUCUAGUUCGGGUUUUUUAUCUAUGAUUGAAUUAUAAAACCGUUUGUGUUCAAAUUUUGUGGACACCUUAGAAACUCAAUUGUUAAGGUGUGUGCAAAAUUUCAGCUCAAUCAGAGCCCGUUCGGAUCGGUUUUGCUUUCGAAAACUGCAAUUUAAAUUACUGAAAACAGUCUAAGUUAGCGGCCAAAAUUUGGAUUGUUUCGUUCUUUUGGUGUCUGUUUUGCGACCCGUUUCUUUUGUUAGGCUCAUGUAUGUCACCGAAACUUUUGAAGAUGUUAGUGUGUAACAUUGGAAUUCAAAAUAAAAUUGUCUAAGCGCUAAAAAUUCUACAUGCUUCCAUUUACCUCCCUCUAGUCAACCUAUUUGAUCCUUGAGCAUCAUCCGAUGUCGAGGCUAUGUAUUAACGGGCUGAGGAGAAACUUUAGCCACGUAUGUUGGCUGAGACAUCAGUGCAAAAACAGUGCAACUUGUCGGCCGUGAAUUUCCUUUUGCCCCCCUUUCCCAUGCUACAACUUGCCAUUCUAGCCCUUCUUUAAUGAAUACUCCAGCUGAUACGCUCCUUGUCUAUUGGUAGGCGAAGAAUGGUUAGUAAAAAACAGUAUAUAUAGUACUUCCUUCAGAGAAGUGAUCGACUACAUAAAUAGUACUCACCAAAUGACUCUCACUGUGCAUACUUAAUAGCUUUUUUAAUGCCCUUUUUAAUAGCUUUUUAAUGCCC